rnacentral:rRNA from 1 species
CAAUAAGCAAAAUAAGGGCGUAUGGGGGAUGCCUUGGCUCUCAGAGGCGAUGAAAGGCGUGAUAAGCUGCGAAAAGCUACGGGGACGGGCACACACCGAUUGAUCCGUAGAUACCUGAAUGGGGCAACCCACUAUGUUGAAGACAUAGUACACCGAUAGGUGGGCAAACCCGCUGAACUGAAACAUCUAAGUAGGCGGAGGAGAAGAAAACAAAAGUGAUUCCGUAAGUAGUGGCGAGCGAACGCGGAUUAGCCCAAACCAAUGUUGUUACGGCAAUAUUGGGGUUGUAGGACCACGUUAUUUGUUGCGGAUAGAAUUAGAAUCUACUGGAAAGUAGAGCCAAAGAAGGUGAUAGCCCUGUAUAAGUAAUAGAAGAUAACGAUAGUGGUAUCCUGAGUAGGGCGGGACACGAGAAAUCCUGUCUGAAUUUGGCGGGACCAUCCGCUAAGGCUAAAUACUCCUGAGAGACCGAUAGUGAACCAGUACCGUGAGGGAAAGGUGAAAAGAACCGUGAAUAACGGAGUGAAAUAGAUCCUGAAACCAUACGCUUACAAGCGGUCGGAGCCCUU